rnacentral:lncRNA from 1 species
AUGAUUCAGUUCAGUUCUCAGCCUAAUGUUCCUAUUCAAAUGACUAACCAAAUGUAACAAAAGAAACGCUGAAAGAAGAAAGCUUACGGGUACUCAAUCUGUUGUAUCCUCAUUAACAAGGUGAGUCCAUUUAGUUCUUCCACUGCGACCAAAGUGCUUGACUUGCAUGACUUUUGGCAGAAUCGAUUUGUCCAACCUAUUCUUCUCCCGUUGGUGCAGAGAAGUCUCGCUGAAUAUUACCAUCGAUUUCCACGGAUCCUGCCUGGAAGAGGCAACCUUGUACUAGUAUUUGUACAUUAAAUUUCAGUUCUUUUUCGGUGUGGAAUGUAAUCCAAAAAAUAUCAUAUUUACUAGCUAAAGCAUAAAAUUGCAUGGAGGUUUUACAAGUGAUCAGGAUGCUAGUACAUGGAUGAAUGAUAUAUCAUCCCCUUGCUGAUAUAAUAUAUUUACAUAAUAGGAAGCAAAUCCUUUUGGUAAUUUGCAAAUUCAAAUCACCCCCACCUGUUUAAUAGAACAAACGUGCUUCUACACAUACAACAAAGCAUAUGAAAAGAACAAUUACUUGCAAAUGCCAAAGUGAUUCCAUUGUUGUUCUUAUGGGUAGUUUCACCAUUGCAACAUCCAACAAGGAGGUAAGUGUUUCUGAAGCUCUCAAACUGAAGUAUCAAUUUAAAAAAAAAAAAAAGCUUAUUUGUAACAAAGAAGGCAUGAUUAAAUUACAAAGAAAAAUGGUUUAAUUUGAGAACAAACUAGGGAAAUAACAAACAGGAUAUCCAGAGGCUUUAGGAAAGCAAUCUAAAACAUAAGAUUUGGUAUGGAGAUCAUGUAUCACCAGUGGUGGACCACUCCUAUAACCAAGCAAUAAUAUGGUCUCGUCUACAAUAGCUAUUGGCAACAGUGCUGGUCGGGGAAAAUAAGGAGGGUCAUGAAAAGUGGUUUCGGUGAGAUCUAUCGAACACAUUUGCUUCCAUGUCAUCAUCAUGUUGCAGCCGCCGAGUGACCAUAUCACUUGGGUUUUGGUGGGAUAGAAUUUGAGGGAUACGCACAAGCGGUUAUCGAGGAUGCACAAGACGACAAAGCGAGGGUCAGGUACAUGGGAAAAGGGGGCGUUACAGAUGACUUUAAAAGUUUCCGUGUGAAGAUCAAAAGACAACAACUUGGUUUCUUUACACUCGGUUAACCAAUAAAGUGACCCGUCAAAAUACACAGGCCUCGGGCCAUCAAGAAUCCGAUAGGGAGAAGCAGGGAGGACGUCCCUCCAAGCAUUAGUGGUAAAGUCGAAAACUUCACAAGUGGUGGCAUUGUCUAGGUCAAACUCAGAAGAGUUAAAGAGCCAAACCGGCUUGUAUGUGCCCCUGACUUUGUCUUUGCCGAAUCCUAGCUGAGGUUCUCGGGUGUGGCAGAAUAGGUUGCUACGUGCUUUAAAGUGAGAGAUGAUGAGCCGUUGAACCCUCGAAAGAGAAAAGCUUCGACGCCAUCUAGUGGCGGGAUUAAAAACGGCACUCGGGUGGCGGUUGCUGAAAAGGCAUACAAGUCCGUCACAAGUACCAUAGCAAACCUUGUCGCUCCUUGUAGGGAACUUGAGGCUACGAAUUACACAAGACCCCACCACAAUAUUAGCUUCUUCUUCUUUUAUUUCGUCUUCUUCAUUACCAAACCCGGUCACGUAUACGACAUCUGGACCUCGUGAUUUCCUACGGGUGAUCAUCAGUUGUCUCUGUUUGAAACUUGGGGACUCGAUUGUUGAUUUCCACGUCUUAGAUACAGACUUGAAUCUCAGCAGAGACACCACAGGAAGUCUCUCGAGGAUGAGCUCAACGACAUCGUCUGGUAGCAAUUGGCGAUGUUUUUCAACAUUGUCUUGUUGUCUGUCUCUCAAGACACGAUCCAUCGAAGCUUUCCUAUAUAGACACACGAGUCUACUUAUUAGAUUUAAGAAAAAUUAAAAAAAAAUGGAAAUCUAAUAAUCGAAUCAUAUCCACAAUAAACACUGAUUACCUCAUCGCCCAAAUGAUCUCCUCGAAUCCUUCUUCCAAUCCCUCACGAAUCGAUUUUUAUCCCUUUUUUUUUAAUAUUCUGUACGAGAUAGGUUAGACAGAGAUCUCAUUCCGACAGAACACCUCUUCGCAACCCCUUUUUCUGUAAGAGACGUCCACAAACUGUUUAACUAAGUUUUAUCACUUUUGUCUUUUUCCAAGCCCAAUAACUUAUAAACCAUUAGAAACUAUACUGGGCUUUCAUAGGCCUUAUUAAUAUUUGUUUUAUAUUCGGCCUUGAUUUUAACAUCUCGAAUCUUUAACUGUUGUUUUCUUACUGUUUCAAAAUGCUUUUGCGUGUUUAUUACCGAUGACACUAUAAUAGUCCAAAUUCCCCAAAAUCCACAGAACUACAUGUGCUAAUGGUUGUUUUUUUUUUUUUUGAUCAAACUGCUAAUGGUUGUUUAAGCUUCAACCAAAUGGAUGUGAAUCUCCAAAGGGCCACUAUCACACUUACAUGGAUAGUUCUCUUAAUAACAUCACAUGUUAAUCACAACCUUCGUAAACAACUCGUUUUGAUUUCAUUCUUUUGUAUUAGAAACAUCAGCUUUCAACACUGUGGCAAAAUAAACCAAAUCAAAACUCAAGCAUAAAUGUUAACAGGUUGCCAUGAAUCACAGCUUGCAACGAGCCUGGUACAAGAGAAAAGAGAUCAAGAUGAAUGAGAAAGAUAUGUUAAUCAUACCUAAGUUCGACGGAGAUUACGAGCUCUGGGCGAUGCUCACAGAGAAUCUUCUCAGAUCAAAGGAGUGGUGGGAACUGGUCGAGACAGGGAUCUCACAACCUGGAAGGAAUGUGAUCCUUACCGGAGUACAGAGAACGGAGUUGGCUGAGCAGACCGUGAAGGACCACAAGGUCAAGAACUACUUGUUUGCAUCGAUAGACAAGAUCAUCCUCAAAACCAUUCUGAAGAAGGAUGCCUGUCAAAAGCAGUGAAAAGACUGGAAAUAUCGUUAGCCAGUUUCAAUUAACCAAAGUUCCAUCCCAUUUCCUUUCAGAUAAACCCAUGUCAUUUCUUUUCAGAUAAAGUCAUGUCAUUUCUCUUCAUCUGGCGACACAAGUCAGUUGCUCAUUUCAUUGAAUCAACUUGGUGAUUCUGCUGCUAAUUUAGCGUGACAUAUGGUGCAAAUGAGAAAGCAAUGUUCAGAAAGCAAUUUGAUGUGUUGUAAAUUUAUAGCAUAUUUCUACCUUGAAAUUACCAUCAAACUUACAUUGGAAAAAUAUGAAAAUAAAAAUGCUUUAGUGAUGCAUGCAGAAACAUAAACUGUAUCUUGAUUAAUCCCAUAACUGUGUCUGGUUCGAUACAAAAGACGCUCCGACCAGAUGUCUCUUGUCCACGAUCUCACGGUAAUAACAAAGCAAAUAGUAUUAAUUGCUGCGAUUUAGUUAUUCUCAGAGAUAACAGCGUAAGCUGUUUUUCUUUCACUACAACAUACCACCUUGUUUCAGUUUUUGGCUUAAACUCGAUCAGAUCUUGAAGCGGCUUUACGUCUCCCAAUCUUUCAUCUUCUUGCUCCCCUUUGGUUUCUCAAUGGGACCAUUCAUGCCCGCCAUUUUCUUGUUGUAUUUUUCUCGUAAAGGAUCAUUAGAAGUCCACCUGCACAAUCAUUCAUCAUGCAAAAAAAAAGAAAUAAUUCAAAAUCUGAAGCUCCAUAAACCAAUCAACUGACACAACACUCUCCCUAACAUAACACUAUUCACAUUUGCUUCCAACGAUUGAGUUCAGUUCUCAGCCUAAUGUUUCUACUCAAAUUCUAAACAAGUCAGUCUUCAAAAUCAAUAGCCUAUGACUAACCAAAAUGUAACAAAAACAAAAGCUGAACGCAGAAAGCUUACGGGUUACUCCAAUCUGUUGUAUCCUCAUUAACAAGGUGAGUCCAUUUAGUUCUUCCACUGCGACCAAAGUGCUUGACUUGCAUGACUUUUGGCAGAAUCGAUUUAUCCAACCUAUCUUCUCCCGUUGGAGCAGAGAAGUCACGCUGAAAUAUACCAUCCGUCCCCACGGAUCCCGCC